GACGAACGCUGGCGGCGUGCUUAAUACAUGCAAGUCGAACGGACAGAUUCCGGUCGUUUUCUUCUGGCAAUGGCUAGUGGCGGACGGGUGAGUAAUGCGUAAGCAAUCUGCCACUAAGUCAGGGAUAAGAGAACGAAGGUCUAGCUCAGACCAGAUAAUCUUAACUAGUCGCAUAGUAGGUAAAGGCAAUGGUACGCUCAGGUAUGGACGCGCGUCCCAUUAGCUAGUUGGUGAGGUAACGACCCACCAAGGCAACGAAGGGUAGCCGGCCAGUGAGAGUGGGCGGACACUCCGGGAGUGAGACACGGCACAGACUCCUACGGGAGGCAGCAGUAGGUGACGUUGGGAAACGGGCGGAAGGCUGACGGAGUAACGCUGCGUGAAGGACGAUGUUCUUGGGAUCGUAAUCCGUUGGCAACUAGGAAGAUAAUGACGGUACUCGAUGAGGAAGCCCCGGCUAACUACGUG
rnacentral:rRNA from 1 species